UCCGGUUUGGCACCGGCAGUCCUCCCAGAGUCCCCGACUUGACUCGCUGGCAACUGGGAGCGGGGGUUGCGCUCGUUGCGGGACUUAACCCAACAUCUCACGACACGAGCUGACGACGACCAUGCAGCACCUGUCAUCCGGCUCCCGUGAGGGCACCCCCCUAUUUCUAGGGGGUUCCGGAGAUGUCAAACCCUGGUGAGGUCCUUCGCUUAGUGUCGAAUUAAACCACAUGCUCCACCGCUUGUGUGGAUCCCCGUCAAUUCCUUUGAGUUUUAACCUUGCGGCCGUACUCCCCAGGCGGUCAACUUCACGCGUUAGCUUCGUUACCAAGGAAUUGCUUCCCCGACAACCAGUUGACAUAGUUUAGGGCGUGGACUAC
rnacentral:misc_RNA from 1 species